UUCUUCAAAAAUAAAAAAUGAAAAACAGGAGAAAAUCAAAAUAUAACUUCUUUGUAUUGGUUCCCUGAAUGCUUGUAACCAUACUCUUCACUGAUCUCAAAAGGUCUCAAAACCUGCUCCUUAUGGCUAGUUACUUGUAACUUUCUAUUUCUGUCAACUCUGUUAAGAGCCAUAUCUCUGUUGAAUUCAUGCAUAGUAAACCAUUAUAAAGGCUGGAAGGGUGUUGGGCAUAACUCCAUAAUACUGAUGGAUAUUUUGGAUAUUUGUGAUUGUGUAUAUUAGUGAUAUUUUCUAGCUAUGUAUGUAUUUGUUCUCCUAAUCUGAAAUUUUGGUAAGAUAUUGUUGAAAGCAUUCACAGAAUGUUUAUUCUCCUCUGCAGCUCUUCUCAGCUUUAUAGAAGGUCCUCCUUUUACCCUGCAGAGGCUUUGUGAGAUCCUUUUGAGUGCGAGAAGCAUUUAUCCAAAUCUCUCGAAACUUGCUCUAGCACUAGAAAAGAUAUUUCGGGAGUAGCAGUUUGUUUCUUGUGGAAUGCAGGCGUGUAAAGAUUAAAGUAUUAACCCACGGAAGAAUCAUAUGAUGAAAACUUUUGUUUUUAAUUUAUGUUAUUUAAAUUUGUGAACAACAUUAUGUAUGUAUUAUGCGACAUUAUGUAGUGGCAUAAUUUUUAUUGUUAUGAAUUUUUAUUUAUGUAUUGUUAUGAA